AAAGCGCUCGCGCUGCACAUGCGCCUUAAUAUAAGGCACCUGGAGGGGCUCGCGCUGAUUAGACCCCCAGUAAAGAGGCGUUCAAGAGCGGCUGAGGACAGCUGUGAUUGAAAAACAAAGUGUGUCAAAACUGACCUACACGCUCACUCAUAUUUAGACAUCCCAAAUGCAGUCUUCGAGUGCGGGGUAUGACUUACAGCCUACGUUUAGACGGAAAUAUCUGACAUUACCUGAACGAGAAACUCGUUACGAGAAUGAUAUUCUGAAAGCUCUUAAAUGUCGUGUCGCCUGUAACAAGCGAUGCGCCUCAGGUAACUGCUGUGAACUGCAUGCAGCGCUUUAGCCAAGCACAGUGUGUUGGAUUUAAAUGGUCCAGUUUUGACACAUUUGCUUUGCUCAACCGAGUAUCGGCGCUAAGCCCCGUGAUUUCACCUCGUCCUUGAGAGACCAGCGCAAAUCAACCCAAAUAAAACAUCCCGACCCUGUUCACCUUUCCCGGAGGGUCGUUUUCCUUCGAGACACGUGGACGAAGCCGUACACACCAUUAGGGACCGAAGAGCCGCAGCCUCUAUAGAGGGACUCAGACAGGGUGGGAGGAGAUCCCAGCAGGUAAAAGGACCCACCGCAGGUCACGACCACAAACAGCAUAUCAGCUGGCUAUUUCUGAACAGGCCAUUGUGCCUGAUUUCUGUCCAGACGCCACAGUAAAACUCAAACAUACACAUACACACACUUAACACAUACACACAUA